UACGUAGGGGGCAAGCGUUAUCCGGAUUUACUGGGUGUAAAGGGAGCGUAGACGGCCAGACAAGUCUGAAGUGAAAAUCCAGCGCUUAACGUUGGAAGUGCUUUGGAAACUGCCGGGCUGGAGUGCAGGAGGGGCAGGCGGAAUUCCUAGUGUAGCGGUGAAAUGCGUAGAUAUUAGGAGGAACACCAGUGGCGAAAGCGGCUCUCUGGUCUGUAACUGACGCUGAGGUUCGAAAGCGUGGGUAGCAAACAGG
rnacentral:rRNA from 1 species